AGAGUUUGAUCCUGGCUCAGAACAAACGCUGGCGGCGUGCCUAAUACAUGCAAGUCGAACGGGGAAAGUUCUUCGGAAUGAGUACUAGUGGCGUACGGGUGAGCAACACGUGGAUAAUCUUCCUUCAGGUGGGAAUAACGAGUCGAAAGAUUCGCUAAUACCGCAUAAGACCACAGUAACUUUGGUUACAGGGGUUAAAGACUUCGGUCGCCUUUAGAUGAGUCUGCGUCCGAUUAGCUAGUUGGUGAGGUAAUGGCUCACCAAGGCGACGAUCGGUAACUGGUCUGAGAGGACGGCCAGUCACACUGGGACUGAGACACGGCCCAGACUCCUACGGGAGGCAGCAGUAGGGAAUUUUGCACAAUGGAGGAAACUCUGAUGCAGCGACGCCGCGUGAGUGAUGAAGGCCUUCGGGUCGUAAAGCUCUGUUCUCAGGGAAUAAAAAAAUGAAGGUACCUGAGGAGAAAGGACCGGCUAACUUCGUG
rnacentral:rRNA from 1 species